UACGUAGGGUGCAAGCGUUAUCCGGAAUUAUUGGGCGUAAAGAGCUCGUAGGCGGUUUGUCGCGUCUGCUGUGAAAACUGGAGGCUCAACCUCCAGCCUGCAGUGGGUACGGGCAAACUAGAGUGCGGUAGGGGAGAUUGGAAUUCCUGGUGUAGCGGUGGAAUGCGCAGAUAUCAGGAGGAACACCGGUGGCGAAGGCGGGUCUCUGGGCCGAUACUGACGCUGAGGAGCGAAAGCAUGGGUAGCGAACAGG
rnacentral:rRNA from 1 species